UAUAUAUAUAUCGUUUUGUAGUCAAAAUGAUCCGAAGUCUUGGGGUAAAAAGACUGUAAAUUAAGUGAGCACAUUAGUGAGGCAUCGAAGCUUUAUGUUUUAAUUAGCACUCGCAGGGACGUACAUACAUGUCCCUGGCUCUGGCAUCCCAUUUACUGAAAAAAGGUUAUAGGGGCAGGUUAUUAUAAGGUCGAAUACCGUACAUGUAAUCAUUCUGACUACUACUGUCUCAUAAUAUAUAUUUAUAUAUAUGUACAAUGUAAUAUAGAAACUGAACACGUAAAGUUUUAGUACUACUUGUAUGGAUGGUCAUGUGAGCUAACGCUCUGGCAUAGUAGCAGUGUGCCACCAUCUGUUACCUUCGCCUGUACUUGUAACAACUAGACAACAAUUAAUGUGGGACUGGAAGAGGUCUCGCCUAUUUCGUCGAAAGGGGAAAUUGCCUUAAAAGUCGUAUGUACGUGUAUUUGCAAUGACAGCUGACAUAAGGUGAACGAUUUCUCUAUUAAGAUAAGGUGAGCAAUAAUGGCCUUGUUUAUUUCGAUGUAUUUUAAACCACUGGGUCUUCUUUUUAAUGUGUAAAAUACCACUUGCGUUUUUAACGUAUAACCAGAAAAGCAGGUAAACACAAUAGAUAAUUCAGGGGCCAUGAAUUCAUGCUUGUAUGAUAAAACAUUCUCCCACCGGUGGUUAAUCUCACCGAGUAUCAUGAAUCUUGUAUGUUUUGUACAGUGUUACAGUCGAACAAUAGAUGAGUGUACUAAGUAUGUAUGAAGUAUGCAUUUGGUUACGAAACUAAAUAUGUAUCAUAAUAAUUCGUGCAAAUUCUUUUUUAGAAUAAUUACAUGCGGUCACUCAGCUUUCUAGCUUAGCCCUUAAUCAGUGAUUGACUUCAACUAACCACCUGCUAUAAAUAAAAUCCAUAUUUUUAAAGCCCUGUUUGUUAUGUAGAUAUAACAGAAGUUAGGAUCCUUGAUCAGGCAAUUCAGGAUAAAAUCGCCCCUGAUGAAGGACCAAGGUAGAAAGCUUGGGAAUGGGUCGACUUUUCACACUAGCAAAACAUAUCGAGAACAGUAUUUUAUAUUGUAGCAGCGAAAGGGGGCAUUUCUGAUCACAUAAAUAUAUGCACAUCAACAAAUUUGUAAUAUGCUGUAACCUUUGUUACAGGUUUUGUGCGAGUGUGUGCGUUAAUUGUAAGUGUAGAAUGUUUGUUGGAGUUUUGUUGGUCUACAUUAUAUGUUGCCCUAUAUGAUUAUAAAGGUUUUUUAUGUGCAUAAUCCCUACAUAACAUUUUAUGUUUGUCCUGUACAGAUAGUCGUGGUGUAUGUCCUGUACAGAUAGUCCUAGUGUAACUAUAGUGGGUUGAGUUGUACUGUCAUCUUAUUAUUGAAUUUCCACGGUUACUAUGAAAGGAUGUAGUUUUAAAUGAGCAUGAAAGCUAUCCGUGACCAUUAUUUUAUGUGAAGGGGAUUCUUCCUCUCGCCGACAAAACAGACUACAGUCGGUGAGACGACGCCUAGCGAUUGGUGGUGUCACGUUGGGGAAAAAACAGUAUCUAAGAAAUCAUUUUACGUUAUAUAGCAUGAUCCUUGUGUUAAAAUAAUCAAUUAUCAUCUUUUUUAUCCAGGCGAUCGAUAGCCAUUUGAUAAUACAGCCUUAUGUUCUCGUUGUGAAUAUUAUCUCACAAAACAAGAUAAUUAUUUUACCAUUUCUCUGCAGGCCUGGUGACAAGUCCCACUACAGUUCAUUUGUCAUACAUUUCUUAUGUUUAGAUAAGUAGUGGGAUUUAUAUUCGUUUUAUUGUUUUUGAGAGAAAAAAAAAUCGAUGGUUCAACAGUGCGUUAUGUUGAAAGGCGUAAGGUCUGUUGAAAUAUGUAGGCUUCGGUUUCACCUUCUGUGGACACACCGAAGGAAUCUUCAUGUUAUCAUCGGUAAAACUACUAAUGGAAAAAUAAUAGGGAUGUGGAGCUGAGUAGUUAGCAAAUAGCAUAAUAUAGGCAUUGACUAAGUUUACUCUAAACUUAAAAUGCUUGUAUUAAUCAAGUCAAUUGUAAACUUAAAAUAUAUAUGUCUUAGUUAAGUCAACCCUAAACUUAAAAUAUAUAGGUCUUACUUACGUCAAUCCUAACUUAAAAUAUAUAGGUUUUAAUUCAGAUUAACUAAGUCAACUCGUAUUCAUUAAAGCAGUAAAGUAAAGCAUUUGCAAAAUCCAUCAUAAACGUCAGUAAAAGGUCGGUACCACCAGACGGACUAAAAUGAUGGUAAAGUGAUUAAAAAAUAAAGUGGUUACGUUUGACUAUUUCUAAUUCAGAAUCAAAUAAAAAGCUUAUAUAUACGUUUAUACUAGUCAGAACUGACUCAGAACUAACUCACUACUGAAGUCUAAUAUUGUAUCUGCUUUCGGUGGCGUUUUUACAAGGGACAUGCAUACAGCUGAGGUUAUUAUGUUUUUAUAGAAGUCUAUAUUAUCAUAUUUUCGAGGAUGUGAUGACGGUCCUGAAAGUUAAUAUCAGAAGUUGUGUUCCACAGAAGUACACAUCCGCUUUGGUUUAUUUUUUGUAAAACUGCGGAAAUAUAACUAAUGAGGGGAAACGUUAUAAUAGGUUUGUAACCAGAAAUAGCGGUAGGAUGCACGUAACACCGACGGUAUAUUUGUUUGCUUAGGUCAAUAUUAACCGUUGUGCUUAGUGUCAAGAAAUAUGGAAACGUGUAUAAUAAGUGGACUGCUGGACAGGUUCUUUUUGAUUAGCUCUAAGAAACGUUAUAAACAGCAUUUCGUUACUUUACAUCAGAUUGUUAAUUAUACGUGUAUAUGUUAUAAAGCUGGUUGUGUUUUGGGAGUCUCAGAACAUUUGUAACUGUGUUCAGUUUUCACGCGGAUACAUGCAUUCACUCUUCUUAAUUCUAGUCGUGUGGCGGAAUUUCCAAAGAUUCCAAAAAUAUUUACACGGAUAUUUUUUUAGAUUUAGUUAUUAAAAUAGCAUAGAUUCUCAUCUACAAAAUUUACGUGUAGCAGGCUAAUCAAUGUGUUGUAACAUGGUAUAUUAAGUCUCUGUCUGCCGAUACAGAGGACCACAUUAAUGACAUAAUUACGGGUUUAUGAGGAUAGAAGUUAAUACUUCAUUAUUUUCCAUCUAAGACGAGCUAAUUUCGAGAUGGGCUCUGAAGUUAAAUAAAAUACGAAGGUUUUGUAGUUAAAUUGAGGUUGGAUAUGGUAGCCUUGUAGUUAAAUGGAACAUUCUUCGUUUAAAUGUCAGAUCGGAGUUACAUAGUAAUUAAUUAUAUGGUCUUGUAAAUAAAAAGAUGUUUCCACUCCUAUUUGUGCCUAAUCCGAAGGUUUCUGAUGUUUUAUCGGCCUGUUAAAAAUGGAAUGUGGACCGACCUACAUACAAACUCCAUUAAAACGAGGGGGAAAGCCGACCCGCCCUCAGGUCUGCACUUCAGAUUAGGUUUUCGUCAUCAUUACCGCCGUGUGGAUAGAAAACAUAUAUGGAAACAUCGAUUUUUGACACACCUGACCAUACAGACUUCCAUAUCACCUCACAUCAAUAGAUCGGUCCACCCAUUUUAUAAUCUAACUCAACCCUUUUCGCGGUAACAGGUCGGAAUGGCUGUACAUGAAUGUAAAAGCUUGUGUGAUAACUACUGCAUUCCUGUUGGUUUAAUGGUUUGUUUAAUUGAUGUGACCUGAUUGUGAUACAUUAAGCAUUUCUGCACAAUAUUGUUUUACUUUAUUAUAAUAAUAAAUGAAGAUUAUAUACA